rnacentral:misc_RNA from 1 species
GAACUGCGAUACGCAAUGUGAAUUGCAGGACCCGCGAGUCAUCAGAUCUUUGAACGCAUUAAGCGCAGAGAGGAAACUCCUCUUUGCAUGUUUGCUUCAGUGUUGAACUUAUUACCAUCCUAGUGCGGCUGAACGUUUGCUCUUCCGCGAAACAGGAGUGCCUUGCAUUCGGAACCAACGAAGUAGUCACCACGCUCCGGCGGAAGUGAUCUCGCUGGCGUUCGAUUGAGAAGGCUCAGAGCUAACCCUCUUUAGAAAUAACUAAAACCUGAAGUAAGCAGGACUACCCGCUGAACUUAA